rnacentral:rRNA from 1 species
GAGUUCAAGAGUACGUGAAACUGCUUAGAGGUUAAGCCCGAUGAACCUGAAUAUCCAUUAUGGAAAAUUCAACAUUAAUAUUAUAAUAUUUAUUUAUAAAUAUUAUAAAAAUAGUGUGCAAUUUUUCCAUAUAAGGACAUUGUAAUCUGUUAAUGUAAUAAAUAUUUAUCAUAAGAUUCAAUAAAUAAAAGUUUAUUCAAAUUAGUUAUUUUCCGAUUUCUAACAUAGAAUAAAUUUAAUUGAAUUUGAUAAAUCAUUGACAGAUUUAUUUAUAUAUAGUGCUUAAAUUUUUAAUAGAAUUUUACAAUAAUUUAUAAAUGUAUUUUCAUUUAUUUAUUUGUUGUAUGCACUUAUAUGAUUAACAAU